rnacentral:rRNA from 1 species
UGGGGAAUCUUCCGCAAUGGGCGCAAGCCUGACGGAGCAACGCCGCGUGAGUGAAGAAGGUUUUCGGAUCGUAAAGCUCUGUUGAGAGGGACGAGAGACAUAAUCAGGAAAUGGGUUAUGGAGGACGGUACCUUUCGAGGAAGCCACGGCUAACUACGUGCCAGCAGCCACGGUAAUACGUAGGUGGCAAGCGUUGUCCGGAAUUAUUGGGCGUAAAGCGCGCGCAGGCGGCUUCUUAAGUCCAUCUUAAAAGUGCGGGGCUUAACCCCGUGAUGGGAUGGAAACUGAGAGGCUGGAGUAUCGGAGAGGAAAGUGGAAUUCCUAGUGUAGCGGUGAAAUGCGUAGAGAUUAGGAAGAACACCGGUGGCGAAGGCGACUUUCUGGACGACAACUGA